rnacentral:piRNA from 1 species
UUAGACUAGAAAAACAAAGAA